AUGAAUCUGCUUGCCUGGAACUGUCGGGGCUUGGGGUUGGACUCGACAGUGGGCGAACUACGCGACCUUGUGAGGUGUCACAACCCAGCAGUGGUUUUCUUGUGUGAAACAAAGAAAAAAGCAAGAGCAAUGGAUAGGCUUAAAUGGAGUUUGGGGUUCAAGAAUGGUGUGGCGGUGGAUUGUGUGGGCAGGAGUGGGGGUCUGGCUCUCUGGUAG
rnacentral:rRNA from 1 species